rnacentral:rRNA from 1 species
UACGGAGGGUGCAAGCGUUAAUCGGAAUUACUGGGCGUAAAGAGUGCGUAGGUGGUUGGAUAAGUUAUCUGUGAAAUCCCUGGGCUUAACCUGGGCAGGUCAGAUAAUACUGUUUAACUCGAGUAUGGGAGAGGGUAGUGGAAUUUCCGGUGUAGCGGUGAAAUGCGUAGAGAUCGGAAGGAACACCAGUGGCGAAGGCGGCUACCUGGCCUAAUACUGACACUGAGGCACGAAAGCGUGGGGAG